GUGUAGGCCGCAGUGAAGCCUGAACUGGAGUUGGCUUAAAGGGAGGCCCCAAGCAAGGAAAGAAGGAGGCAGGCAGGCAGGCAGAGUGGCCCCCACAGCUCUCUGCAGCAGACCCUCUGCCCAGCCCAGCAUUUGCCAGGUAUGUUGCCAGAAGAGCAAACUCUGCCACACGUCAGGCUGAAAGAAGCCCAUUUAGCUCUGAGAUGAAAGGAUAAGAGGCCUAUACGAUGCUGAUGUGUGGAGAGACCCCACGGAUAAAGUGGAUCAAGAUGAGAUGGAG